UCCCCAGAGGCCGGCGGGGACUGCCGUUUAUCUUAACUGCUAGCCGGGUUGAAGAUUCUGUCUCUGAAGGUUUAUUCCCUGCCUUUUGAUUUUAAGUUGCUUGUACAGUGGAGAAGGUCAACGAGAAGUAUGUCCCUUUUCCUAUCCGAUUAAAGUCGCCCGUGUGGCCUAGGAUCCAGUGUCAUUCUUGAGGGCCUGGAGGAUGCCCAAAUGCGUCUUCCAGCCUGAAGCCGCGUGGGCUCGCCCGUCGCCGAAGCCCGUCGGCGAAGCAGGACGAGGAUGAGACGAUUAGGCUGCCGGCUAAGGAAGUAUUAUCAGCUCCUUGCAGGUAGAGGAUGUUUCUGACACAUCUUAGCAUCUCCGAGUGCUAGAAGAAUAGAGCUGACCAUAAGGAUCAGGUGAGGAAACUGAAGCACAAGCUACACAGCUCCAGUGAGAAGCAGAGCUGGAACUGAUUCCACUUGGCUGAUUACCCAGGUCAGCUAGAUCCUACCCUCAUAUCCUGCAGUGCUUGCUUUCAGUGAACAGAAUAUCUACAGUAUUGUUUGAAUACUCAAGACCUGGGUGGCCCCACCAUCUGAUAUCUGAAAACAGACUUCCUGUGAAGCAGGAGUGAUGGUUUCCUGAGAACAAGUGCUUCACUAUCAAGACAUGGAAAGAUAGCACUCGGCUGCUAGUAACAAAUUGCACCAAAGUUACAAAUGCAGGCCAAGCCUUGGAUUCGGCUGAGGGUAUCGAAGAAGGACGGAAGCACGCCAGCCCACCUGAUCUCUGUACCCCCUCUGCCCUCCUCUGGCAGCAGCAGGCCCUUCAUCUGCUCCUUGGAAGGGAAGAGCCAGGUCCUAGAGGCAUCUUCGAUUUGCCAAUAGCUCUAUUCUCCACACGGAUACUGCCUUCACAGUGUAUGACUCUGGACCAGGGUUUGGGAUUGGUCCAGGGAAAAGCUGUAACUUUGAGUGGCUCCCGAUCCUCUCCUUCCCCUUCAGGCUAUUCCUGGGUCAUCUGGAGAGCGGCAGGGCUGGAGCAGGAGGGACCAGGCCCAUGUGCAGCAGGCUCGGUCCUCGGCUGCAUCAGAGCAGCUCAGCAAGCAGCCUCACCAGUUACCCUGUCUUAUGCACAAAGGGAUCUAGACUCAGCUUCUCACCUUUGGAUACCAAAAGCAUCAGGCAGUGGGAGGUGGAGGAGUGUCUCAGGCCAAAUGAGGCACCUCCAGAUGAUAAGGGCCAGACCCUACAUGCAUCUGAAGCAGGAAGAGGCCAAGGCCUUCACUGAGGAGAUGGAUGGGGCAGCAUCUCAAAAGACGGUGGGCAAGUAACUAACCCUGUUGGUCUCUAGGAGGGGCCCUGCCAGUCACUGUCUACCCAGUUCAAACGACAUGUUUCAGCAUCAUGAAAAAUAACAAACAAAUAUGGACUAUAUGAGUCAAUUUUUGUUUAAAAGGAAAACGCAAAGACACGUUAAAAAAAUGGAUAUUUUUAAAAAGUACACUGUGAUUUUUAUUUUAUGUUUGCCUAUUAUCAUACAAGCAUUGCUU